rnacentral:rRNA from 1 species
UGGGGAAUAUUGCACAAUGGGCGCAAGCCUGAUGCAGCGACGCCGCGUGGGGGAUGACGGCCUUCGGGUUGUAAACUCCUUUCGCCAGGGACGAAGCGUUUUGUGACGGUACCUGGAGAAGAAGCACCGGCUAACUACGUGCCAGCAGCCGCGGUAAUACGUAGGGUGCAAGCGUUGUCCGGAAUUACUGGGCGUAAAGAGCUCGUAGGUGGUUUGUCACGCCGUCUGUGAAAUUCCACAGCUUAACUGUGGGCGUGCAGGCGAUACGGGCUGACUUGAGUACUGUAGGGGUAACUGGAAUUCCUGGUGUAGCGGUGAAAUGCGCAGAUAUCAGGAGGAACACCGAUGGCGAAGGCAGGUUACUGGGCAGUUACUGACGCUGAGGAGCGAAAGCAUGGGUAGCAAACAGGAUUAGAUACCCUGGUAGUCCAUGCCGUAAACGGUGGGCGCUAGGUGUAGGGGCCUUUUGGGGUUUCUGUGCCGUAGCUAACGCAUUAAGCGCCCCGCCUGGGGAGUACGGCCGCAAGGCUA